AGCUGCUCGGUUUCUAUCUCGGGGAGGGCGGCGGCGGAGGGGAGCUGAGGCGGGAGCUGUGGCGGCGCUGGGCGCCGCUCGCCCCUCGGCCUCCGCGGGCCAUGGGCUCUGAGAAGGACUCCGAGUCGCCGCGCUCCACAUCCCUACCCGCGGCCGCGCCGGACCCCAAGUGCCGCAGCGGCGGCCGGCGCCGGCGCCUCCCCUUCCACAGCGUCUUCUCCGCCUCGGCCCGCGGCCGCCGCGCCCGAGCCAAGCCGCAGGCCGAGCCGCCGCCGCCGGCCGCGCCGCCGCCGCCGCCCACCCCGGCCCCGGCCGCGGCCCCAGCCCCGCUGCCCGAGGCGCUGCCCGCCGAUCCGGUCGCCGAGACCCAGGAGGAGGCCGAGGCGGUAGCGGCGGCGGCGGCGGCGGCGGCGGCGGGGCCCGGGCUCGACGAUGAGGAGGCGGCGGAGGGCGGCGGCCCGGGCCCGGAGGAGGUGGAGUGCCCGCUGUGCCUGGUGCGGCUGCCGCCCGAGCGGGCCCCCCGCCUGCUCAGCUGCCCGCACCGCUCGUGCCGGGACUGCCUCCGCCACUACCUGCGCCUGGAGAUCAGCGAGAGCCGCGUGCCCAUCAGCUGCCCCGAGUGCAGCGAGCGGCUCAACCCGCACGACAUCCGCCAGCUGCUCGCCGACCCGCCGCUCAUGCACAAGUACGAGGAGUUCAUGCUGCGCCGCUACCUGGCGGCCGACCCCGACUGCCGCUGGUGCCCCGCGCCGGACUGCGGUUAUGCUGUGAUUGCCUAUGGCUGUGCCAGCUGCCCAAAGCUGACCUGUGGGAGGGAAGGCUGCCAGACUGAGUUCUGCUACCACUGCAAGCAAAUAUGGCAUCCAAAUCAGACAUGCGAUAUGGCCCGGCAGCAGAGGGCACAGACUUUUCGAGUACGGACCAAGCACACUUCGGGUCUCAGUUACGGACAAGAAUCGGGACCAGCAGAUGACAUCAAGCCAUGCCCACGAUGUAGUGCUUACAUUAUCAAGAUGAAUGAUGGGAGCUGUAAUCAUAUGACCUGUGCAGUAUGUGGCUGUGAAUUCUGUUGGCUUUGUAUGAAAGAGAUCUCAGACUUGCAUUACCUCAGCCCCUCUGGCUGCACAUUCUGGGGCAAGAAGCCAUGGAGCCGUAAGAAGAAAAUUCUGUGGCAGCUGGGCACAUUGAUUGGUGCUCCGGUGGGGAUUUCUCUCAUUGCUGGCAUUGCCAUUCCUGCCAUGGUCAUCGGCAUUCCUGUUUAUGUUGGCAGGAAGAUUCAUAGCAGGUAUGAGGGAAGGAAAACCUCCAAACAUAAGAGGAAUUUGGCUAUCACAGGAGGAGUGACUCUGUCAGUCAUUGCAUCCCCAGUUAUUGCUGCAGUUAGUGUUGGUAUUGGUGUCCCCAUUAUGCUGGCUUACGUCUAUGGGGUUGUGCCCAUUUCUCUCUGUCGUGGAGGUGGUUGUGGAGUUAGCACAGCGAAUGGAAAGGGAGUGAAAAUUGAGUUUGAUGAAGAUGAUGGCCCAAUCACAGUGGCAGAUGCCUGGCGAGCCCUUAAGAACCCCAGCAUUGGAGAAAGUAGCAUUGAAGGUCUGACCAGUGUCUUGAGCACCAGUGGCAGCCCUACAGAUGGACUCAGUGUUAUGCAGGGCCCGUACAGCGAGACGGCCAGCUUUGCAGCACUCUCCGGGGGAACUCUGAGUGGUGGCAUCCUUUCCACUGGCAAGGGAAAAUACAGCAGGUUAGAAGUCCAAGCCGAUGUCCAAAAGGAAAUUUUCCCCAAAGACACAGCCAGUCUUGGUGCAAUUAGUGACAACGCAAGUACUCGUGCUAUGGCCGGUUCCAUAAUCAGUUCCUACAACCCACAGGACAGAGAAUGCAACAAUAUGGAAAUACAAGUGGACAUUGAAGCCAAACCAAGCCACUAUCCGCUGGUGAGUGGAAGCAGCACAGAGGACUCGCUCCAUGUUCACGCUCAGAUGGCAGAGAAUGAGGAAGAAAGUGGUGCUGGCAGCAGUGGCAGCAAUGAAGAGGAUCUCCCCUGCAAACACCAAAGCUGUGAACAGAAAGACUGCCUGGCCAGCAAACCUUGGGACAUCAGCCUGGCCCAGCCCGAGAGCAUCCGCAGUGACCUGGAGAGCUCAGAUACGCAGUCAGAUGAUGUGCCAGAUCUCACUUCAGAUGAGUGCGGCUCUCCUCGCUCGCACACUGCAGCCUGCCCCUCGACUCCCAGAGCCCAAGGUGCGCCGAGCCCAAGUGCCCAUAGGAGCCUCUCUGCCCCAGCAGAGGGGAAGACUGCGCUGAAGCCAGAAGGUGCAGAAGCCAGAGUAUGAAGUGGAAUGAAUGCUCCUGUUCCGAGAAGCACACUUGUUGCAUUAGCAGAUGAAAGACCUUUCACCACCACUGGGAGACCAGGAGUUGUUGGUCCAGUUAUUUAUUUUUAAUGACUUGAGGGAGGGAGAGAGACAAAUAUUGGCUUGUUGUUGCCCUGACCAGGGACCAAACCCACAACUUUGGCAUACCAGGAUGAUGCCCUAACCAACUGAGCUUCCCAACCGGGACCUAAAAGUGGGUCAGUUUAGAACGUAGGGAAUGUUUUAAGUAGAGCUUUCAUUCAUACCUACUAUGUUUCAGGUAUACUGUGCAUUAAUGAGAAAAACAAAAGUCUGUCCCCAUGGAACCAACAUCAGAGUGGGAAAGGUGAUCAGGUGCAUACUCUGGAGGAGGGUAAGUGCACUGAAGAAAACAGAGCAGGGAAGGUGGAGAGAGUUGCAGGUGGUGGUGCUAGCCAUCUAAUUAUUUAGAGGAUAGUAUAGGGCCUCUUCAACAAGGUAACAUUUUAUCAGAGUCCUGAGUGGAGUGAGAACCAUGUGAUACCAAGCAUGAGGAAUAAAGUACAAAGGCCCUUUGGUAGCGCAUCCUUAGUCUGCUUACACACACACACACACACACAGCAUACAGGCCUGUAUGGCUGGAACAAAGUGGACCAAGGAGGAGAGUAGUAGACUAGGUUGAAGAGGUGUCUGGGAACAAGAUGUGUAGAUUAGCAAAACAACUCUGAUGACAAGGAGAUGUUAGGUUCCUCUCAGGCCCGGAAGAGAUAAUCUUUGAAGCCAGACAGAUGGGCUCUUGUGGUCAAAUUUCAAAGGGGCUAACCCUGAAAGGGCAUAUCUGGUCACAAGUCAUACUUUGGCCAAUGGAAAGAAACUGGAUUUGGGAAAUGGAUACUUAUUUAUUCCAACCUCUUUCUAAUGUACUUUUUGGGACCUAAAUGGUCUCUGUGGUCUAGUUAGAAUAGAGGCUUAUGGGGUAUUAAUAGCUUGAAUCGUGUCCCCCAAAAUAUGUUGGAGUCCUAACCCCAACUAAGAAUAUAACCUUAGUUGGAAAUAGGGUUGUUGCAGGUGUAAUUAAGAUGAGGUCAUACUGGAGUAGGAUGGGCCCCUAAUCCAAUAUGAUUGGUGCCAUAUAAAAAAAGGAGAUUUGGACACAGAAACACAGAGAGAACACCAUGUGAAGAUGAAGGCAGAGAUCAGGAUGAUUCGGCAGAAGCCAAGGGGUGCCAAAGAUGGCCAGCGAAACAUCCAGAAGCUAGAAGAGAGGCAUGGAACAGAUUCUCCUAUAUAGUGCUCAGAAGGAACCAACCCUGCAGACACCUUAACCUUGGACUUUUAACCUACAGAACUGUGAAAAAAUAAAAUAGUGUUUAAGCCACCCAAUCUGUGGUGCUUUAUUACAGCAUACCCAGCAAACUAAUAUAUGAGGGUCAAGUAAUUUAUUUUUUAAAGUAUAUUGAUUUCAGAGAAAAGGAGAAGGAGAGAGAGAAACAUCAAUGAUGAGAGAGAAUCAUUGAUCAGCUGCCUACUACAUGCCCCAUACUGGAGAUCAAGCCUGCAACCUGGUCAUGUGCUCUGACCCUGAACUGGUUCAUAGGUCGACAUUCAACCACUGAGCCACCCAAGGAAUUUAAAAGGAAUUUUGGCCUGGUCUGUUGCACAUAUCCAUCCCAUUAUUAUUGCCCAGUUCUUGUACGUACAGUGGUACUAGACAUACUUGGCCACUGGCAGAACCUUCAGACUGACACCUGGUGUGAACGCUGUGUAAGAACCAAGAAAGUCUCCAGAGCUGUUCUUCCCCACCAUAAUCAUAAGCCCAAUGCCACUGUGCCUCCCUGAGGGAAUAGGAGAUGUUACCACCGCCAUCGGAGACUGAGAAAUUCAGGAAUGGUGACCCCUAUCUGUUCACAUUUCAGUCAUUUGCCCUGUACAGGACAUGCUUGUAGCUGUUCUUUCAGAUUCCUCUUUAUAAAGCAAACCAGCACGUCGCUGGCACCUGCAGCCAUGCAACUAUUGACCUGGAAUAUGCUCUUCCUCUCUCCCCCAACGCACAGAAAACAUGAAACGCAGGUCACUUCCACCUGUCGGGCAGCAGUCCGUCCUGCUGUUGUACAUCUGGCUUAUGUCAGCUCACCGGCUCUGUUGAAAUCUCAUUUGCAGGCACUUUAAUCAUCUCACAUUUCGCAGCAGGACAUCACUCGACAUGUUUUUGGAUCUAAUAAGAAGUGGCAGCUGCUAUCCUGGCCCAAGGCCAAGUCCCCUACACUUUUCACCUCUCACCUGAACAGCUGAGCUGGCCUUCAGGCGCUCAACCUUGGGGUGUAGGUUUGGUGGUGAAGAGGUCAGCAGGGGCCUAACAGCAGAAGAGAGAGUGGGCCUGUGGCCAGGAGGUGGGCAUGCUGUGCCUUGAGGGAUGUUUGAGGUUGGGAUGUCAGAGGGGGUGUUCAAGGCGUGGCCCAGAGAGGUGGCUGGGGUCAUGAUGAAGGUCCCUGAGGAGGCUCGUUCACAUGAUGAGCAGGACCUGAGCACAGACUGCCGGACGGAAAUCUGGAAACCCCAGUCUGAUGGGCGGAGGUGGGUGACAGGGAGGUGCUGAGAAGGACUGGCAGAGCAAAGCCAGGGGGCAGGCGUCUCAAGAACAAAUGAUAGACACACAUGGGGAAACCUUCCAAAUGUGGAUGGUGGUUUUCUGUGAGGGCAGAGAGGAUUGUGGGUAGUUCUGAUUUCUUCUUUAUACUUUCCUGUUGGCCCCUCAAAUUUUCUACAAUGAACUUUUU